rnacentral:rRNA from 1 species
UACGUAGGGCGCAAGCGUUAUCCGGAAUUAUUGGGCGUAAAGAGCUCGUAGGCGGUUUGUCGCGUCUGCCGUGAAAGUCCGGGGCUCAACUCCGGAUCUGCGGUGGGUACGGGCAGACUAGAGUGAUGUAGGGGAGACUGGAAUUCCUGGUGUAGCGGUGAAAUGCGCAGAUAUCAGGAGGAACACCGGUGGCGAAGGCGGCAUCCUGGACCGAGAUUGACGCUGAGGCGCGAAAGCCAGGGGAGCAAACGGG